rnacentral:rRNA from 1 species
AGUGAACGCUGGCGGUAGGCCUAACACAUGCAAGUCGAACGGCAGCACAGUAAGAGCUUGCUCUUACGGGUGGCGAGUGGCGGACGGGUGAGGAAUACAUCGGAAUCUACUUUUUCGUGGGGGAUAACGUAGGGAAACUUACGCUAAUACCGCAGACGACCUACGGGUGAAAGCAGAGGAUCUUCGGACCUUGCGCGAUUGAAUGAGCCGAUGUCGGAUUAGCUAGUUGGCGGGGGAAAGGCCCACCAAGGCGACGAUCCGUAGCUGGUCUGAGAGGAUCGUCAGGCACACUGGCACUGAGACACGGUCCAGACUCCUACGGGAGGCAACAGUGGGGAAUACUGGACGAUGGGGGCAAGCCUGAUCCAGCCAUACCGCGUGGGUGAAGAAGGCCUUCGGGUUGUAAAGCCCUUUUGUUAGUAAAGAAAAGCAGCAGUUUAAUACCCCGCUGUUCUGACGGUACCCAACGAAUAAGCACCGGCUAACUUCGUG